CAUGUAGGCGGCUCGCCAAGUCUGAUGUGAAAGCCCUGGGCUCAACCCAGGAAGUGCAUUGGAGACUGGCGAACUUGAGUACGGGAGAGGAAAGUGGAAUUUCGAGUGUAGGGGUGAAAUCCGUAGAUAUUCGAAGGAACACCAGUGGCGAAGGCGGCUUUCUGGACCGAUACUGACGCUGAGAUGCGAAAGCGUGGGGAGCAAACAGGAUUAGAUACCCUGGUAGUCC
rnacentral:rRNA from 1 species